rnacentral:rRNA from 1 species
GACGAACCGUGCGAACGUUGUUCGGAAUCACUGGGCUUAAAGGGUGCGUAGGCGGGUUGUCCAGUCGGGGGUGAAAUCCCACGGCUCAACCGUGGAACUGCCACAGAUACUGGCGACCUCGAGGGAGGUAGGGGCGAGCGGAACUGUGGGUGGAGCGGUGAAAUGCGUUGAUAUCCACAGGAACUCCGGUGGCGAAGGCGGCUCGCUGGACCUCUUCUGACGCUGAGGCACGAAAGCUAGGGGAGCAAACGGG